ACGGAAGGUCCAGGCGUUAUCCGGAUUUAUUGGGUUUAAAGGGAGCGUAGGACGUCUGUUAAGCGUGUUGUGAAAUGUAGAUGCUCAACAUCUGAAUUGCAGCGCGAACUGGCAGACUUGAGUGUGCGCAACGUAGGCGGAAUUCGUGGUGUAGCGGUGAAAUGCUUAAAUGUCACAAAGAACUCCGAUUGCGAAGGCAGCUUACGGGAGCACAACUGACUCUGAAGCGCGAAAGUUUGUGUAUCUAACAG
rnacentral:rRNA from 1 species